rnacentral:lncRNA from 1 species
GUUGGGAAAGGGAAGAGAUGUGGCAUAUGUACUAAGAUCAUCAGCAACUAUUUCUGCUUUUUUCUAUCCUAAAAGAAAUAGAGUGGAAACUCUCAUUGCACAGCACAGAACUGCUUCUUUGACCAGAGACAGACCAUAGAAGAACAAACAGCCUAUGAGCACAUUUACUGAAUUAUUGAACGAACGAAGGUAGGGAAAGAGAAGCCUGCAGCUCAGGGAUCAGCCAGGUGGCAGCAUACAGCAAUAAACUCACAGACACCAUCUGCAGACAUCCUUUGGCCAUUCAGUUCUCUCUAGCAAAAAUUUCCCCCACUCUAUCAUAUCAAACCCAGCCACAUCCUCUCCCCAGACUCUCAUGCUCUGAAUACUUUUAGUGCAAAGUCACCUAAGGUGGCAGCUGAACACUUAAGGCUGAAAUGCUGUGAUAUGUCAUUCAGAAUUGAUUAGAGUGGAUAGGUUUAAAAGUCCUGGGAGGGCUGGGAAAUUGCUCAGUAGUAGAACC